UACGUAGGGUGCAAGCGUUGUCCGGAAUUAUUGGGCGUAAAGAGCUCGUAGGCGGUCUGUCGCGUCUGCUGUGAAAACUCAGGGCUUAACCCUGAGCUUGCAGUGGGUACGGGCAGACUAGAGUGCGGUAGGGGAGACUGGAAUUCCUGGUGUAGCGGUGAAAUGCGCAGAUAUCAGGAGGAACACCGGUGGCGAAGGCGGCUCUCUGGGACGGUACUGACGCUGAGACGCGAAAGCGUGGGGAGCGAACAGG
rnacentral:rRNA from 1 species